rnacentral:sRNA from 1 species
AAUCGAAUGGAGGGAUUAGAAAUGAUUGAUAGUCCACCAGAGAAUUUAUUAAGAUUGGUUUAAGCAGCCAGCCUAUUAGAAAAAAAUUACUAGCAAUUAAAUAAGUGAAUUAGAUUGGCUCCUUGAGGAUGGAGUCAAUCUCUUUUUUA